rnacentral:rRNA from 1 species
GACGAACGCUGGCGGCGUGCUUAACACAUGCGAGUCGAACGGAAAGGCCCUGCUUUUGUGGGGUGCUCGAGUGGCGAACGGGUGAGUAACACGUGAGUAACCUGCCCUUGACUUUGGGAUAACUUCAGGAAACUGGGGCUAAUACCGGAUAGGAGCUCCUGCUGCAUGGUGGGGGUUGGAAAGUUUCGGCGGUUGGGGAUGGACUCGCGGCUUAUCAGCUUGUUGGUGGGGUAGUGGCUUACCAAGGCUUUGACGGGUAGCCGGCCUGAGAGGGUGACCGGCGACAUUGGGACUGAGAUACGGCCCAGACUCCUACGGGAGGCAGCAGUGGGGAAUAUUGCACAAUGGGCGGAAGCCUGAUGCGGCAACGCCGCGUGCGGGAUGACGGCCUUCGGGUUGUAAACCGCUUUCGCCUGUGACGAAGCGUGAGUGACGGUAAUGGGUAAAGAAGCACCGGCUAACUACGUG